rnacentral:tRNA from 1 species
GCUGUAGCUCAGUGGUAGAAUGCUUGCCUAGCAUGCACAAGGCCCUGGGUUCCAUUCCCAGCACUGCA